UCUUAUGGGUGAGCAAAGAAAGUGGUGGCUUGAACUGGAAUCUACUCCUGGUGAAGAUGCUGUGAA
rnacentral:pre_miRNA from 1 species